rnacentral:lncRNA from 1 species
GAGAUUGUGCACUUCUAAGGAGAUGCCAGGUGGUGCUAAUUCUGCUGCACUGGACACCACACUUAGAGUGGCGAGGUCACUAAAUAAUAGGAGCAAAAGGAUCGUGAGAACACCGACAUCAGUGAGAAGGAGGCUGGCUGCAGAGACCAUGAUCAUAAAUGUGGAAUGAUGGGGACUUUGAGAGAUUUGUAACUGAAGCUGCCUUCAUGCUUGUUAGAAUGGUGGGGUGGAAGAGUUCCCAGUUUUGAAGGAGAAGUACAAGAAGACCCGUAAUGGUUAGCAAGAUAUACAGAACACAGUGGACAUAGCAGCACACUUCUCAAGUCAGGCCCAGAUACAAAGGCAGAUACUGUGUGGGUAAGCGGAAGCGCUUCCGCCUCUGCAACCUGCAGGCCUGCCCCGCUGGCCGCCCCUCCUUCCGCCACGUCCAGUGCAGCCACUUUGACGCUAUGCUCUACGAGGGCCAGCUGCACACAUGGGUGCCCAUGGUCAAUGACGUGAACCCCUGUGAGCUGCACUGCCGGCCCGCGAAUGAGUACUUUGCCGAGAAGCU